GACGAACGCUGGCGGCGUGCUUAACACAUGCAAGUCGAGCGAGGCCCCUCCUUCGGGAGGGUGUCCUAGCGGCGAACGGGUGAGUAACACGUGGGCAACCUGCCCUCAGCUCUGGGAUAACUCCGGGAAACCGGGGCUAAUACCGGAUACGACCUCCACGGGCAUCUGCGGGGGUGGAAAGUUUUUCGGCUGAGGAUGGGCCCGCGGCCUAUCAGCUAGUUGGUGGGGUAGUGGCCCACCGAGGCGACGACGGGUAGCCGGCCUGAGAGGGCGACCGGCCACACUGGGACUGAGACACGGCCCAGACUCCUACGGGAGGCAGCAGUGGGGAAUAUUGCGCAAUGGGCGAAAGCCUGACGCAGCGACGCCGCGUGAGGGACGAAGGCCUUCGGGUUGUAAACCUCUUUCAGCAGGGACGAAGCGAAAGUGACGGUACCUGCAGAAGAAGCACCGGCCAACUACGUG
rnacentral:rRNA from 1 species